UACAGAGGGUGCGAGCGUUGUCCGGAAUCACUGGGCGUAAAGGGCGCGUAGGCGGUCGGAUAAGCGUGCGGUGAAAGCCCGGGGCUCAACCCCGGGGUCGGCCGUGCGGACUGUUCGACUGGAGCACUGUAGAGGCAGGUGGAAUUCCGGGGUGUAGCGGUGGAAUGCGUAGAGAUCCGGAAGAACACCGGUGGCGAAGGCGGCCUGCUGGGCAGUUGCCUGGACGCUGAGGCGCGACAGCGUGGGGAGCAAACAGG
rnacentral:rRNA from 1 species